GAGAUGGGACUCACACCCAAGAGGAUGCAUUUCCAUACACCCAUUUCUGAAAUAUGAAGAGGUGUCCAGUCUGUUUGAUUCAUAGCUGCCUGUUCCACAACUGCAGAUACAAAAACUCGGAUCUUUUACCCAGAGCCUCUGAUCCCACGAGGAUCAAUAAUUUAAGCAGAACAAUCAUCAACAUCGUCGUGUUUAAUAUUUGAAUUCCAUAGCAUCACUUAGGUCAGCUUCAAGGUCCUAGGGAACCGCUGCCUGCGGCCAGAUCCAGGCUGGAGAGGCAGCGGCUGCCAAGCUGACCUCGCUGCCCGCCUCGCAGGAGACGACUGCCCGGAGGCCUCAGCUGCACAUGCUGCUGAGUGUGAAGUCAGCGCGGUGCAACCCUAGACCUCGGCACAGGCGUGAAUACCCACCGACUCCCACUGUGGGGAUUAGGGAUGUGUGAGCAGAGUCUUAGCGACUAGCUUCUCCUCCUCCCCAUAUCAACACCCUUCAAUGCUGACUUCUCAAAGUAUGGUGCUAGGGCGUCACCUGGAAGCUUGUUACGCCUCUCCCCAGAACUACUGUGUCCGAAACUGCAUUUAAACCAGAUCCUCGGGGGAUUUAGAGCUGGUUAACAAAAUGACCAGAGGAUUAAAGUUUGGAAAUCUCCAAUUUCGACUAUAUUGAUUACAUUGCC
rnacentral:lncRNA from 10 species